rnacentral:rRNA from 1 species
GAUGAACGUUGGCGGCGUGGAUUAGGCAUGCAAGUCGUGCGGAAAGGCUCCUUCGGGAGUACUCGAGCGGCGCAAGGGAGAGUAACGCGUGGAUAUCUACCCCCUGGACUGGGAUAGCGGCGGGAAACUGCCGGUAAUACCAGAUAAUGUCUGCGGACCAAAGGUGUGAUUCCGCCGGGGGAUGAGUUCGCGUCCUAUUAGCUAGUUGGUAGGGUAAUGGCCUACCAAGGCAAAGAUGGGUACCGGGUGUGAGAGCAUGGCCCGGCUCACUGGGACUGAGACACUGCCCAGACACCUACGGGUGGCUGCAGUCGAGAAUCUUCGGCAAUGGGCGCAAGCCUGACCGAGCGACGCCGCGUGCGGGAUGAAGGCCUUCGGGUUGUAAACCGCUGUCAGAGGGGAGGAAAUGCGUGAGAGUUCUCUCUCACGUUUGACCUAUCCUCAGAGGAAGUACGGGCUAAGUUCGUGCCAGCAGCCGCAGUAACAC